rnacentral:lncRNA from 1 species
CCUCACUUGCUUGUGAGCCUUUGGCCUCGAAGAAGCCGAUGACUUCUUCUACUGCUCACGGGGGUUCAUCUGCUGCUGUUAACCCUAAAAACUACUAAACCUACGUGGCGCGUAGGCCGAACAAUUAAUAAGCUAACUACGUCUUUUGGUUGUAUGCGGGGCAUGCCAACUCAUCAGCCGAAGAGUAAAAUAUGAUGAUGUUGCGUUGAGCGCGUGGUUGACUUCUUGAUCUUGCGACUACGGCCGAGGAAGGAACACUCUCGGUAUUCAGGUUCUAGAGCCUAAAGCUGCUAGUUCUGCGAAGUUCACAAAUCGUCGACGUCGGAUUCAGUCACGGUGAUUAUAUUCGUUAAAGUAUAAGCACGCUGAAUCGACACCAGACUAUAUGGGCAUAAGUACUCAAAACAAAUGUAUGUCUUGAUUGUGAAAGUGGUUCGGCCGUCAGAAUGCCGAACUCUAAAACCUACUUGUGAAUACCCAAUCAUAAAUAACUCGCCGAGUAUAGUAACUUGUAACACAUCGCUUCACCGAGAAGGCUAACGAGAUGACUUCUGCCAAUAAGGAUUUGAAAAUCCUUCUCGACCGAGACUUGGAUAGAUAACCAGUCGGCCAUGUUGUAGUGCUGUUAUCCAAACUGAAGGUGCUUCACAGUUGGCUGAUUCUACGGCAAUAGUGUUAUUUAUCCAAACUGAAGAUGUUCGCCGGUUACCUUCAUAGUGCUGUUUAUCCAAACUGAAGAUGUGUCAGCGAAAAAGGAAAACAAAAAUCUCAAGGUUGUUAAGAGGUUUUAUGUAGAGCAAGGGUUUGCGUAGGGCAGUUUGUAUGUUAAAUUGGAUGGGGUUUGUUCGAUGUCCUCCCUCCCUAUUUAUAGUAGCCAACCUGUAUUGAAUCCCAAUCAUUCUCGGAUUAGAACUCAUUUCCUCGAUCUAACCUUAUCUCAGCCAGUCCUACUCCUACUAGGACUUUGAACUUAACUCGUUAUCAGGCCGUAAUUAAUUUCAAACUCUAACAUCUUUAUCCUGUUGAAACUCCUUCUCAUAAUAGGACUUACCCACAUCCCACAGGUUCCCGACGGGAUAUGGCCAACUUCGACUACGCGGCCCAUGAGCUGGAUAACCCCUAACGACAUCUAAACAUGGCCUCUGGCCCGAGAACAAUUCUAAACUCGGCCCAACCAAUACUAGGCCGAGAACAAUUCUAAACUCGGCCCAAACCAAUAUUUUUAGGCCCAAACAUUGCCCCCUCGCUUCUGAGGUCGUCAAUCUAUACUCCUUGGUUUGAGCCUCGACCUUGAAGAAGUGAAACUGACUCUUGGGAACUACCACUAUGCGCAUUUAUGAGACAUAACCCCACGACCUUGAUUUCCCAACUGUUAGCCACAUGUCAACCCCCUGGUUACCCUAGCAGCCUUUAAUCAUAAUCCUCGAAAACAUGCGACCGCCGAAACAUCUCUUUUACACUAAACCCGCCGCAACAUGCAAUCAUGUGUCUUCAAACCGCGAAAACCUCGGUCUUCUCGCUUCAAUUUGUUGAGCAUGUAUAAUGAUUGGUAACUCUCCCACUUGAUUCUACCCUUGAUUUUGAAAAUCAAAUGUUUAGCCUUCCGUCCCAAAUGCGUAUAAAUACCGAAUCUCUUCCAUUCGUGCCUUAUGUUUUCCAAAACCCUUAAAAUUUUCUCGUUACUUUGUUUUCAAAACCUUCAAAAUCUAGAAAAUCGUAAGCUUUCAUCUCAGAAAUUAUUUAGCCUUCAUCAAUGGCCUCAUUCGUCUCAGAGCUCUCCACCGAGCGCAACAAGUACAAGGACUUCAUAGAUCAGAACGCCAUCAAGAUUUUGCAUUUCGAGAGUGACCUAAACACCAUUCACCAAAUUCUGGGCCCACUCUUCAAAGACACGGUGCCAUCAUCCGUCACCAACCUGUUAAAAAAACACUGUUUGGCAUGCUUGCUGCAAGGAUUUGAUUGGUCAAAGUGGUGCCAAACAAAACCCCAAAGAUCCUGCCCUUCGACCAAUGCGAACUGGGUGGCCUGUGUCGGUGCAUGCGCAGGAAUGCCUGACGGAGGUUAUCUAAAUGCGUCUGCCGUCGUGUUGAUUUGAUGACCACAUCGUCGACGUAGACUUCGACGAUGGUACCAAUUAAAUCAUGGAAAAUAAUGUUCAUAGCUCGUUAGUAUGUUGUACUGGCAUUCUUAAGGUCGAAAGGGCAUGACGACCCAUUCGUAUAUGCUGAGUGCCCCGGGACACCGAAAGGCAGUCUUAUGGACAUCAGCUUCGGCGAUGAAAAUCUGGUUAUAACUAGCAUGCCCAUCCAUGAAGGAUGUAGUCUCGUGAUGUGCUACGGCGUCAAUUAGCAAGUCGAAGAUCAGCAUCGAGUACUCGUCUUUGGGCGUUGCCAGGUUCAGAUUACGAAAAUUGAUACAGAUGCGUAGGGUAUCAUUUUUCUUUAGCAUCGGGACAAUAUUGGCCAGCCACUUGACGUAUCGAGCGGUCCGAAUAAACCCAGCUUUUAGAAGUCAAACUAGUUCGUCUUUUAUGCCGAGAUGUACUUCGGUCGAAAACCGGCAAAGGGGCAUGCGGAAAAGCUUACAACCAGCUUUGAUGCGUAAUUCAUGUUCAACAAGGGUCCGAUCAAGGCUCAGCAUCUCAUGAUAACUCCAAGCAAAACAAUCUUUAAACUCAUUGAGUAAUUGACAGAGUUUGACUUUCAUGGCAUGGGGUAAUAGUGCACUAAUAAAUAACGACCGAGGGUCAUCGGCCGUUCAGACAUUUAUUUCCUCUAAGAGGUCCUUAACUUGGGGUCGACUGUCUUUGAGUUCGGCCGGUGCGGCCUGAACUUUGUCUAAUGACAGUACUGGGCCGUUAUCUUCCUCGGCCAAAAAUUCAAUUAAGUUGAUGCUCGAAUGUGGGUGCUUGGAAAUAGCAUACCAAUAGGCCAUCAGACGUUCCAUCGUGGAUGAAACCGUGGCCUUACGCCUCUCGCCUUUGACGAUAAUCAUCAGUGGUAUGGAUCAAGUUGGCCAAGCCGAGUCGUGUCGAAUCCUAGUGGACAGUCUUGGCGCCUACCUCGAUGGCUUUUUGGACUAAGAUCCGAGUCGGUCGUCCAUCUUCAUUAAAACCCUGUAGGGUAAUGUAGCCGACGUGAUCAUCAUAAUAGCGGGCUUGAAUCAUGUUGGUUUCAAACGCCUGAUUAUCGGCUAGAUGGACCACGACUGAUUUGUUGUCCCAAAAAAUGAGAACUUGGUAUAAAGAAGAAGAGAUGCAAUUCGUUUGAUGAAUCUAAUCCCUGCCAAGCAAAGCAUUAUAUUCGGUUUUGGAGUCGAUGAUAAAAAAUACGGUCAUGUGAUUACGACCUGCAAUGUUCACCUCCAAAAGGAGUACUCCUUUGGUUUGAGACUUGUCACCGACGAAGCUGCUCAUGGUUAUUCCUAAAGGAAUGAGUUCGUCGUCGGAUCGUCGUAGUGCGUUCAUGACGGAUACAGGCAUGAUAUUGACCGUUGCUUCGCAAUCAACGAAAAUUUUAGAGAUUGGGUAACCUUCAAUCUGGGCUGUGACAUACAACGACUUUAAAUGCUAAAGAUUAGCUGAGGAGAAGUGGGGAAACAAGAUGGCUAGGGCUGUUUUAAGUUUCUCGUCGUUGUUUGCUGGCUCAUUUUCAGUGGCGGUGACGAAAUCAACUUGUGUUGCUUCCUCAACGACCACAUCACCAUCUAAGGAAUUUGGUUGGUGUGCAGUUGGUUGGAAUUUAGCAGGUAGAACAUGGACCAUGCUGAUUUCCAUAUUCUCAAUGACUGAAAAGCCCAUUGGAUCCUGGUCGUCGUCUUCCGGGUUAUUGAGGACUAUAGCAUUGUGCAUUAGAGCAUCCUCAGCCUGAUGAUCAGGUGUCUCGACAGGUACUUGCUCUUGUGCCAAGGAUCCCAACCUUGUUUCAUUGGGACUGUAAUUGUCAAGCUCGUUUGUUUCCAAUGUCUGACUUUGCUCCUGCAGUGUUUUUCAAGCACGUUCUUCAUAGGCGAUCUGGGCGUCCCUUGUGUCCAAGUAGGCGUCCAAACGUGCCACCUGAUAUUUCUUAUUGGCUGUUAGGCCGAAUAGAAACGCGGUCGAGAAGACUUCGAAGUGAUAUCGUAGGUGUUGAAGGUCUUCGAGAGAAAAAUAGAGUUCGGCUGUAUCAAUGUCCGUGUAUGGAUCGACCUUGAAGCCAGAAACCCUAGCCUCUCGUUUAUGCUGAAAUCUAGCUUUGUUUGCUGGGUCAGUGGUUUUUUGGAUGAUCUAUUCAGUAUCAGGGCAGGUUAGUGCCAAGUCGAGAGCUUAUUGACACACCUUAGGUAGUCCAUACAAAUCGUUGUCGGAAUACUUUUUGUGAAACUUUUUCAUGUAUUCCAAGGAUUCACCGAGGAACAGAGGGUAUAGAUUUCGUCAAACUCUUAUUAGCGGUUCUUUCAGGGGUAACGGGGAAAGUUGGCUUUCGGCCUCUUUCUUAAACUGCUUAAAGUGAACUUUCAUCUUCUCGGGCCGAAUGAGGAGUUUGAUGCGUUUCUUGGACUCUUUGAUGGUAGUUUCGUAGUCACGAUUGGUUUCCUUCUGCCCCUGUAAUUCAGCCAUGAUCGUCGGGGUUGGCUGGUCGUCUCCGCUUCUUACCGUCUCUUUCGGCUACCAUUUAGUGGCCAACAUAGUAUGGGCCGCCUGCCUUCGAACCAUGCAAUCUAUACGCUGACGUCGAUGUUUAUGAGAUUUGGAUAGCACAGCAUACAAGCCGGUGGGAGAAUUGUAACUGUACCAAUGUUGGUCACGUGGUUCAGGCAGUCUAAAGGUUUUUUGAUUUGAUGAUGAGCUUAAGCUAUUGGAAUUACGCGAAUAAUAAUCCUCAUUAUAAAACAAUGCAUCAAAAUCAAGGCGUCGUCCGUCUGUUUUUGGGGGCCGAGCCUAUCGAACACUUUCUGGCGCUGGUCUUCAUUGGGUUCCUUUGGAGGUGCUGUCGUGGCCGUAAACUGUUGUCAUGAUGUUGGAGUUUAAGUAUGAGGUAAUUUCUCCUUGGGUUUGGUUAAUACAAUGUGUGCCCUACAAUUGUUGCACAAAACUAUUGGCCCGUCACUUUCUUCAACACUGGAAUCUGACAUGAAUUUAACUCCAGCCAGUCUCGAAAACCCGGUAGAUGGUUCAUUGGAAAAUAGGUCGAUCUUGAGUCGUGGCUGGGAAUGUUUCUUUGGGACUUGUUGUACUGGGACAAACUCAGCCUCCCCUUUCCCUUUGCUCUUGGGUAAACGGGUGUCUACCAUGCCGACUGUUGCCGAAGGGAAUGGAUCAACGUCGAUCGUCAUCCGUUUUUUCAGAAAACUUUAGCUUGCCUUUGUCAAUCCAGCUUUGGAUAUCAUCACGGAAUACGACAUAAUUGUUUAUGGCAUGCUUGAUCGAAUUAUGAUACUUGCAAUACGUCUUUCCUUUAAGCUCUUCGGCCUUGGGAAUGUUAUGUCCUGGCCGAAGUUUGAUGAUCAUUGCUAAUAACAAUUGAUCGAAAAUUGCCUCUACCUUUGUGAUAUCAAAAGUGUAAACUUUCGAUGUUUUCGUCGUCUUUUCAGUGGCCGAGCGGGUUUUGGCAUCGUUGGAAUUAAGUUGAGUCAAUGCCUUGCAAACAUAUGGUUUAUCUAUUACUAUCUCGGUCGCGUCCACGCUGACGUAUUGGGAAUUUUUGCCUUCGGUCGAUGCGUAGUUGACCAUAGGAUUUUGUAAAUCGUUCCUUAGGAUGAGGAUUUCAAGAUCUUUUCUUCUCGGAGCAAAUAAUCAUAUUGCUCGACAUGCUGGGCUAAUUCAUACAUAUCUCGAAAGUUUGCCCCCAAGAAUUUUUGUUUGUACUCCACGUCGAGCCCAUUCAGACCAAGCCUAACAAAUUCGACUUUGGGAAGAGGUACUCCGCACCAAUUGUUGACUUAUCAGAUGCUUAAGCCAUCCUAGCCAAUGAAGAAACUGACAUUUCCAUCCUCGGCCAAUAAAACUGUUCGUGAAAUUUCUCGACCAACUCCUCCUAACUUUGGAUAGAAUUAGGUGGGAGGUUGAUAUACCAUGUGAACGCUGAGCCUGUCAAUGAAAAGUUGAACAACCGUAGUUUAUGAAAAUCACUAUUGACAUCUUCGCAUUGUGCAGUGAAAUGAGCCACAUGUUCUAACGAGGAUAAGGACGAUUCUUCAGCAAAAAGGUUGAAAUCUGGAAUCUUGAAACCUUUAGGAUAUUUAAAAUUUUCCACAUAAGCUUGAUAUGGGUGGAUGAAUUUCGGGAACUUCGGCCCUUUUUUCAUGGCUGAAUCGAUCAUCCAUUGGAUCUCGGUCACAUCAACGGAUGUUGCUUCCACUACUUCAGCCUGUAGCGGAUUACUUUUAAAUGGAAGCUGUCAAACCUGAUCAACCAGUCAUUCUUCGAAGACUUUGCUAACUAAUAGUUCGAGCAAUUUGGUGUGGGUCUCACCAUUGUUUUGUAUCACUUCGAGCAAACUGUUUAUUUUUUUACCAACUGUCUAUUGAACCUGUCGAGAUUGCUCAUCAAGUCAUCUUCGAAGAAACGACUUUGUCGGAGGGUUAGAGCCUUCACUGCCGUCUUUAUCGCAGUCUUUCACUAUUUCUUCAAUGAAAACGUCUGCGGUUCUGUUGGGUAUUUCUGCGUUUCGAGGUUGGGUACCGAGGCAUACUUCAUUUUCUCGAUGUGUUACACUUGCAGCCUUAUGGGUCACAGCGACAAUAGGAUUUCGAGCAUGUGACACCUUUUGUCCAGGACUCUGAACCAGCAGAUCGAUCGUUGAUUUUCCCAUGGUUGUUUUAUUUUUUACCGAUCGUGUCUUGAUGGUCAUGAACUUCAUAGUUUUAGCACUAGGUCCCAUUAGGCGUGCCAAAAUGUUGACUCUAAAAACUACUAAACCUACGUGGCGCGCAGGCCGAGUAAUUAAUAAGCUAGCUACGUCAUUCGGUUGUAUGAGUGGCGUGCCAACUAGUCAGCUGAGCUUGGUCGAGGAGUAAAAUAUGGUGAUAUUGCGUUGAGCGCGCGGCUAACUUCUUGAUCUUGCGACUGCGGCCGAGGAAGAAACACUCUCAGCCUUCGGGUUUUAGAGCCUGAAGACAAGGUUGCUAGUUCUGCAGUGUUCACAAAUCGUCGGCGCCGGAUUCGAUCACGAUGAUUAUAUUAGUUAAAAUAUAAGCACGCCGAAUCGACACCAAACUAUAUGGGCACAAGUACUCAAAACAUAUGUACGUCUUGAUUGUGAAAGUGGUUCGGCCGUCAGAAUGUCGAACUCUAAAACCUACUUGUGAAUACCUAAUCAUAAACAACUCGACGUUCAAUGUGCUGAGUAUAGUAACUUGUAACACCUCGCUUCACCGAGAAGGCUAACGAGAUGACCUCUGCCAAUAAGGAUAUGAAAAUCCUUCUCGACCGAGACUUGGAUGAAUAACUAGUUGGCUUUGUCGCAGUGCUGUUUAUCCAAACUGAAGGUGCUUCACAGUCGGCUGAUUCUACAACAAUAGUGCUGUUUAUCCAAACUGAAGAUGUUCGUCGGUUGCCUUCACAGUGCUAUUUAUCCAAGCUGAAUAUGUGUCGGUAAAAAAGGAAAACGAAAAUCUCAAGGUUGUUGAGAGGACUCACCCACAUCCCACAGGUUCCUGACGGGAUAUGGCCAGCUUCGACUGCACGGCCCAUGAGCUAGAUAACCCCUAACGACACCUAAACACGGCUUCUGGGCCGAGAAGAAUUCUAAACUCGGCCCAAACCAAUAUUUUUGGGCCCAAACAGCUGCUAGCUCGUCAUUGACUUAACUUCUCCAAAUGGGACUAGAAAGUCCAUUAAGCCUGAGCCUGUAAAACCUGCUGCUCCGAAGGUGACCACAUCAUUGCUGAGAGACUUGCCCAACGGAAGGGUUCGGUGGCUCCCCCGGUGUCCGGGUUUGUAUCGAAGCACUCAUCGAGAACUAAGUCUGGUUCGGCUUCUGAGAGGCUCGCCACUAUGAAGAGCGGGAAAGUGGAUUCUGCUGCUAAGGUAGCGUCUGGGCCGGUUCUUCAUUCUGCCGUGAUUGACUCAUCUGCUGAGAAUGGGAGAUCUGCUCGCACCGACAGUUGUGAGAGAUCCAUCUAGUUUAGGCUAGAGAGUUUCCUGAGGUUUGUGUGCUACUGAAGGCUGACUUGCUUGAGGACAUUGAUGUAUGCACCAAGUUUGUUGACAAUGUUGGGAAAGUUGUCAUCCGCUCAGAAUCUUUUGAGAAGCGUCAUGCCUACUCGAGGAGGUCCUCCCUGGUUGCCACAAUGCAUAAGACUUUGAUCUUGGCAGCUAAGUCUAUGUGUGUUAAUCAAGAUGCUGUCAAGUGUGCUAAAGAGGCCGAAGUGGUGUUGAUGACUCAACUUCGCUCGGCUGCUGAAAAGAUUGAGAAGCUCGAAUUUGAACUCGCCGUUUUGAAGGGGUCUGAUGUUUCUACCCUCAUUUUUUUGCAGCUGAAGAUCGUUAAUUAGGAGGUCUCUCAUUUGAAGGCUAAGCUUAGCACAACUUAGGCGAUGUUGGAAACUGCAAAGAAGGAAGUCGGUCAUGUUUCUCCGAUGGUCGAAAACCUAGAUCGUGUCAAUUCGGAGCUACGAUCUGCUUGUUUUGCCAAGGACGAGGAGCUUAUCUUCAUGCAUGUUGAAGUGUCUCGUCUCAAGGAGGUUGCCAGUAAGCUUGAGUUUAAGGAAAUGGAUUUGCAAGGUGCGCUGUCUGCUAGCGAGAACCUGAGAAAGGAACUGGAUGAGCUGUAUGGUGCUCAUAUUGGGUUUGUUGAAGAGAAUGUGCAGCUGAAGAAUGAGAAAACCAGUGACGAUGAGCUUAUCUUCAUGCAUUUUUAGGGCAUGCCGUCGGAUUAUGAGUUUUUUUAGAAGGGCUUCGAGACUUUCUUCAUUUCUCAUGUUGAUCUGCUUGAUUUCUCGUUUGAGGCUACCUUUGGUGGAGUAGCUGAGGGUCAGGUAAUCCAGGUGGAGGCGGCUAAGGAUGAGCUGAUGAAAGCUUUGGCUGCUAAAGGCAUGGCAGUCAAGGAACUAGUGGUUGCGCAUGCUGCCAAAUAGUAGUCUUUUUGCUUAGACUUAAGAAUUUUCUUGUUUUCCUUUCUGUUAUGCUUUAUUUGAACUUUGUUGGCUUUUGAGCCGGUUUAUCAAUUUGCUAGAAAUUUAAUAAACAGCUUUCCUUGCUUUGCUUCAUCCUUUUAUUUCGCCAUGUUUUUUGCAAAACUUUAUCCUAGGACGGUCGGCUAGGUGAGCUGCCUCCAUGAAUCAAUCGAUCCCACGUCAUCACUUAGGUUUUAGUUUCAUCCUCGAGGCUUGAAAAGCUUUACCUCUAAGAGGAAAAAAUGCGUGAUUUCUAACUUAUUGAGCCAGCAGCCAAACUCGUUGCCUCUGUAGGAAACAGGCAAGUUUGUGUAGCUACUACAGUUAUGAAUGUGGACUUCGUAUGGCUUCACGAGCUUUAACCCUUUCGGGGCGUAUUGUGAAAUUUUUAACCUAUAAAGCCAGCGGCCGGACACAUGUUUCUCAUAGAAAGCAGAUGAGUCUGCUUAGUUAUUAUGGUUGUAUUUCGGCUUUGAGUGGCUUCUUGAUCUCUGAUGGCUUCUUGAGCUAUGGUGGUUUCUUGAGCUAUGGUGGCUUCUUGAGCUAUGGUCAUUCGAAGGCGUGUUACAAGGUUUUUUAACUUAUAAAGCCGUCGGUUGGACUCAUGCUUCUCGUAGAAAGAAGAGAAGGUCGGUGUAGCUGCUAUAGUUGUACCUCGUUUUUGUCCCAGCAAAACUUAAGUCAUAAACUGUUGGCCUGAAGCGUUGUUGUUAAGUAACCAGAUGAGUCUGCGUAGUCAUAGCAGAUAUAAGUCUCAACUUACGGAUUGCCUUGGGUUGCCAGUUGUCAGGUCGUCGGUCGGGCGUCUUACUUACAGAAGCAGACGACCCACUUUACCACUUUAGACGUCAUUCCUAACUUUUGGAGGCGUUUUAGGCGGAAGGUGUAGGCAGAAUCGCGCCUCAAAGACCACAUUCUUUCGAGUUGUAACUUGAUUUCGCAUGUCGCUUAACUAGUAUUGUAACAUUUUAAAACCAAGCUACGUUCAUGAAUACUUGCACGUCGAGUACGGACCAUUUUGUCACGCAAACUCUUUCAUGGGAAGGAAUCCUGCACUUAGCGUCUCUUCUGGUUAGAGACCCGGGAUCCCGCGGAAUUGAAUCCUUCAGUUGACUAAGUCUAUUCCAGGGGAAGGACUAUCUUGACCAAUUCUUGGAGUCGUCCAACUCAAGUAAUUGCUCCAUUUAAGGGGAACUGAGCAGUUGUGCCACCCAUCCACAUCUAGAUAUUCCACCCUCUCUUUAUUGGAGAGCACACGCCAUGUCUAAAAGGCAGAGGGCGUCUUCUGCGUGUCACAGGGUUGGUCAGUCUAUUUAUGCAUUCGGACCAAGCUUGUAAAUAAUUCAUUCAAUCUUCAUUGAGAAUAGAGAAAUUUAUUAACUUUGCUUGUAGGCAGUAAUGGCAUAACAACCGGUAAUCCUUGGCAUGCGAGGUCUUGUUUGUCGAGCUACUUGAGUCUUUGAACUUUUUUAGUCUUGAAAGGGGUCUAAGGAAUGGUAGGAUGUCACAUGUAGUACUUUUUCUGGUUGUAGGCAUUCCAUUGCUUGUCGAUUUCUUUGUCGUUCAUGGUGGAAGGUGUAGCUGCCCCUUUUCGCCUACUCGGUUGAUUUUGUACGAAUCUUCUCAUAUAGGAGCCAACUUUUUAGAGCCUUCCAAUCGGGCAGUGAUGAAGGCUUUUCUGAUGACUAAGUUUCUUGGCUGGAACAGCCAGAUUUUUGCCCUCUUGUUGUAGUCUGAGAAGAGCUCAUUCUUGGGUUAUUUCUUCGCCAGGUCUAAGUUAGUGGCCAUCUCUUUCUUGUUCUGCUCUAAAUUUGGUAGUACAGUGCUAAUGCUUGGCACCAUGACGUUGGAUGAAAUGAUCGCCUUAGAGCCAUACGCCAUGGAGAAUGAAGUUUCACCAGUUACUUAUCUCUUGGUGGUGCGAUAUGCCCAUAGAACAUCGGGGAGCUCGUCUGGCCAUUUACCCUUCUUGUAUGAGAGGGUCUUCUUAAGGCAGUUGAUGAUGGUCUUGUUGGACACCUCGGCCUGCCCAUUGCCCUGUGAAUACCGGGACAUGGACAUGUGCUGCUUGAUGCCAUAUUUUUCGAAGAAACUCACAAAGUCUCUACCCACGAACUGCGGGCCAUUGUCGGUGACGAUAGAGUGAGGGAUGCCGAAGCGGCAGAUGAUGUUCUUCCAUAUGAAGUGCUAUAUGUCUGUCUGGGUAGUUAUAGUCAUGGGUUAGGCUUCGAUCCAUUUGGUGAAGUAGUUGGUUGUUAAGAUUAUCAUGCCUCUGCCCCUAGUGGCAGGGGGUAUUGGUUCUACCAAGUCGAUCGCACACUGCAUGAAUUGCCAAUGGCUUGUUUGCGGGUGGAGUUUGCUGGCAGGUGGUGCGGGUACGAGCUUGAAACACUGUCAACUGUCCUACAUUUGUAUAUACUCUUUGGCGUCUUGAUGCAUGGUUGGCCAAUAAUAACCAGUGCUAAGAGCUUUUUUGCGCCAGAGAGCGGCCUUUAGAGUGGUUUUCACAUACGCCAUCGUGGAUUGAGCUAAGAAUCUUAAGGUUGUCGGGAGGCGAUAAGCAGUUGAGAUGUGGUCUUGAGAAAGAUCUUCGAACCAGCAUGUCGUUCCACAUGUAGUAGCGUUCUGCCUUCAUCUGGAGCUGCUUGGAUUCCAAUCUGUCUGCCAAUAGUGUUCCGUUGACUAAGUAGUCGAUGAUGAGAUCCUGCCAACUCAGAGUUAUGUUGAUCUACACCACCUCAACUGCUGGUUCCUCAUCUAUGCUCGACUUCUCCAAGUACUCAACUGAGAUUAAACACUUGAGCUGAUGGUCUAAGGCAGAGCCUAGGCCUACUAGUGCGUCUGCGUGGGCAUUUUCUGUUCGUGGAACCUGAGUGAGUGUGUAUUCCUGAAACGUCGCUAGCUGUUCUCGUACAUUUUCAAGGUAUCAGGCCAUCCUUGGAUGCUUGGCUACGUACUCUCUUGAAGUUUGGUUGGUGAUUAGCUGGGAAUCAGAAUAGAUCAUAAGCUUCUUCAUCGAUAGGUCUUUCGCCAAUCGGAGACCUGCUAGUAGGGCUUCAUACUCCGCUUCAUUGUUUCAUGCCUUGAAGCUUAGAAUGAUUGCCUGCUCAAGCAUUAAACUGUCUUGGGUAGUAAGAACUAGGCAUACUCCCGAUCCUUGGUAGUUGGAUGAUACGUCAAUGUGCAAGCGCUAGAAAUCUCCUGCAGGUGGGGCCAGUGUGGUUACGGCGUGCUCAGUUGCCCCUAGGGUGUUUCUGGGUUGAGUUGUUAAGUGCAUCGGAACGUCCGCCAAUUUUUGAGCCUUUAACAUCAUGCGUCUGGGUUGUGCAGAAUAUCGCGUCAUGACGAUGACUGAGUACGUCUGAAGGUAUGGCUUGAGCUUCCGAGUUGCAACAGCUAACGUCAAAAUCAAGGUUUUAACUUUCGAGUAUUUGGCUUCCGCAUUGAUGAGAGCUCUUGAAUUGUGAAAUACCAAUGGUCAGGCCCCAAGCUCUUCUCGUAUGAGGGUAUAGCAUAUUACUUCUUCAGAUACCGAUAUAUAGAUGCAUAGGUCAUCCACUGCUUCCGGUUUGGAUAGUAUAAGAGGUGAUGUCAGGUAUUUCUUCAAGUCCUGUAAUGUUUUCUCGCAUUUCAUCGUUCCAUUUGUCUCGCUAUGUGUCAUAAUAGCCUUGAAAAAAGCUUGCAUCGGUCGGUAGGUUGCGAGAGAAAUCGGUUGAGUGUAGUUGCUUGCCAGGUCAGACCUUGGAUCUCUUUUAGAGUAGUGGGGGACUUCAUAUCCAGUAUCACUUAGAUUUUCUUUGGAUAUGCAUUCGGCGUGGUACGACUGCUGCUUAGGGUCAAGGGAGAUAUGCUCGGCGUCUUCUUCGGGUUUCCAUCCUGAUUCAUUUACCUGGGCAUUGUCGACCUUGACGCCAUCUUUUUGACCUGUAUGCUGUAAUUACUAUUUGGCAGAGGUAAAAUUGUAUGUCUACACUUCAGCUGUUACUGUUGGGGCUAAAGACUUCUUCUUUGUCUUCUUAAGAACUUGUACAAUGCAUCUCCGAAACAUGGCCUGGUCGCAUUUGAUCUCUCCGACUACUUCUUCCGGAAUGCGAAAUCGGAUUUUUUGCUACUCGAUCGAGGUCACAGCUCUAAUCUUCAAUAGCCAGGGUCGGCCCAAUAUCCCAUUAUGGAAAAAUGGGUCGCUGACGAUCAUGAAGGUCUACGAUGAGACAAUCGGUGAUCUGGUCAUGUCGAGUGUGAUGGUGCCAAUGGCAGUUGAGGUGAGCUCGUUGAAUCUGGUCAAGACCCCUACUUUGCGUUUGAUCGUGCUUUCCAGGCCCAUCUUCUGAAUGACUAACAGUUGUAGGAUAUUGAUUGAGCUGUCGUUGUCCACCAUAAUUUUGUCAACGAUGGCGUAUGCCAAUUGAACAGAAAUUACUAGGGCGUCGUCGUGGGGAAAGUCUACUCCAUUAACGUCCUUCUCAGUGAAACCGACGAUUGGUCCAAGUAUAUCAUCUACGGCUUGAACCUGAAAGACUGAUCUUGCCUGCUGGAUCUUCCUUUUCUUGGAGUUGUUGGUAGCCCCUAGAUGCUCGAAUUCGGUGAAGAUUCCACUGAUUCAAAUUGUCUUGGUUGAGGGCUCGACAUUAGCGUCUGCUUCUCACCUUGGUCGGGCAGCUGGCCUGUCAACAUACUGGUUGCACUUGCCUUCCUUCACGAGUUGCUCAAUGUAUCUCUUCCACGUGGUGUAGUUGUUGGUUGUGUGCCCGAGGUUUCUGUGGAACACGUAGUACUUGGCCUGGUCCAUCUUGGAGGGGUCCUCCCUCAUAGGUGGCGGCGGCUUGAACCACGGCUUGUCUUUAAGGUCGCGAAGGAUCUGGUUGAUUGGGACCGAGAACUUGGUGUACGUCUUGGGCCUCGUGCCUCCCUUCAUCGAGGAUUGGUCCCUACAUCUGCUCCCUGGCUUGUUUUUGUUGUUAAGCGGUUUAUCGCUCGCCUUCUUCUAAGUUGGCUCUACAUCUUUGCGCGACUGCUCAAACAGCUUAUAGGAUAGCUUUUCCUCAUCCCAAAAGAAGUGUUUUCUGCCAAAGUAUGAGAGUUUGCUAGGGUCAAGUUCUCGCCCAUGAUCAAUUUUUUAAAAAGUAGGUGAUUUGAUGGGAGUUUCUUUCGAAAAGUUGAGCACACGAUGCUGUCAUCGCAUUCGACGAUCUUUGCCUUCUCCGCCUUGAACCUUUUGACGUAUAUGUGGAGUGACUUAUGCGGGUUCUUCUUUAUGUUGAAGAGAUAGUUAGACUUCUUCUUGAUCGAGCGGUAGGACGAAUAUUCCUUAGUAAGUUCGAUGAAGUUCCUGAUUAAACGUGGCGACAGGGUGUGGAACUAGUCUUGCGUCUCGCCUUGGAGCGUCGUGGCAAAGAUUUUUCACAUGAGAGCUUCGUUGUUGGCGUAAAGUGUCAUAGCACUUCGAUAAUGCAUCAGGUGCCUACCUGGAUCUUCAUCUCCUUUGAAAAAGGUAAAAUAUGACAGGCUGAAUUUUUACGGUGGCUCCAUUUGCUCGAUCUCGUCUGUAAAUGGUGACCUGCUCAGGUUGGCCAUGUCUUUAUGGAGGGCAUCAUCAGUAGUAUCAAUGCGCUGGAAUCCGCGCAACUGCUUUGCUACGAGCCUUUGUACUUCUUCCUGGAUUUGCGCCUGGUAGGGCAGUAGAACCUCUAACUGCCUCCAGUGUUAACAUGCUGGUCUAAAUUGCUUUUCGACAUGUCCUGCUCGUUUGUGCCGUAAUCACAGUACACGUGGUUCAUUCUAUGUUGCUCUCUGUCACGCUUGGCGGGGGCUGCCAAUAGAACUUGAACUGGACUGCUCUAGUGCUCUCCUUUGUCCGUCAUGUAGCCGCAUACUCCGAUGCCUCGCAGAAGGAUCUUUUUGUGAGCUUAGCCUCGUGUGGACACUUCUUCUAUAAUGUCCUGAGUGCUUAUCGGAGUAUAGAUCGAACCUUGAAUGCACACUGACUCAUGAGCCGAGUCAGGAAUGAACGCUUCUCAGUGCAUUUAGGCAGGAGAAUACGUUUUCUUGAGGGCCCAAACGAAAGUGCACGCUAUCUAAACGCACGAUUCGUGAUAGGCUGAGUGGCUCUUUGCCGGGACGUCGCUAGAAUAAGUCACGUUUUUCCGCCCUUGUCAUACUUUAGGACACCUCGUCUGGGGUGAGCUGCAUCUCGAUACGCUCGAAGAGCUGGUUCACCAAGAUGGUUUUCUGCGCGAUGUGCUCAUCAAAUUGGCGACCUGUUGGGGCAGAUGGUGCUCGCCAUUUGGAUUAGAAUAGACUGGGAAAUGGGCAUCUCUAUGUGUGAUGAAAGUAUAAUGGACUGCAGGUACAAAACUUGAGCCCAAAGCGGGUAUUCUUGCAGUAAAGUGGGAUGAAAAUAACCCUGAAUCGAUUGCUAAACAGGAUAUGGAUCGCCAAAGAUGGUUUUGGAAUGGAUUGGACCACGGGCUGGGUUGUCGAAGGAGGUCGCGGGGCGAGCCAAGCUGGCUAGGUGGUCGACACGUGUGCAGGGACGCGCUGGGCUCACACGUGUGAAGGCUAGCCUUGGGCCUACACUGUGCGUUAGGCUGGUGCUAUGCCCUGGGUCGCGCCUUGUUCUCACAGGCUUGAGCUUGGUUGACAACUGGAUGGGCCUCUUGGGCUCGGGCUGCUUCUCCAAGGACUUGGGCCUCCUGCCCUUGGGCACUGCGGUGGUGAUGGCGUGGCUCUGCGUCGGUGGAGCUCCUCAUGCCAUCACGUUGAGCCUUGAGAACCUUCGUCGUGGGGCUACGUCCUCAUCUCCACUAUCCGGUCCAAAUCCUUGUACGUACGGGGUUCCGUUCGUCGUGGUUUCUGAAUUUCCUACCAUUGUAUCCUUUGUCCAAGGAUUGAUCAAGAACCUUUUCUAGGAAAAAUUAAUUGAUACGACAUGUGAGAAAUUCAACGUAACAGAAAAUUCAAGAAACCAAAUGGGAAAAGCUUCUUCGAGUAUUUGAAUCAGCUAUCAAUGAAAGCACCAAUUUGUCAAUGCAAAUUUCUACCAUCUUCAAUCUUGACGAAAAUGCACCUGCAAAACAAUUAACACCUUUGAUCAAUGACCUAAGCCUCACGUGCCCACGAGGUGGGGGGGUUAGGCCAAUGGAUCUCCGAUGCCUAAGUCAGUUUCUCUAAGGGAAAUAAAGUGUUCAGGGCUUUUUUAGGGUCGUAAAAGCUUCUGAAAUUUGGUAAAUGAUAGGAGCAUAUUUAUGCGACUUAGUUAGCUUGUUUCUUGGCAUUUAUGUUGUUAGUUCAUAGUUAUUUUAGUAUUUUAAGCUAUUUUCGUGUGUUUGUAGGUCCAAAGGGUUAAUGUGGCAAAGAAGUGCAUUUUGGAGCAUUUUUGGGCAUGGAAUGGAUGACAUAUGCUUGGAGCAAAAGGAAUGGACGAAAUUUGAAGUUUGUGCAUCAUCCUCUCCCUAUAAAUAACCAUUUUAGCACAUUCAUUUCACCCAACACAUCUAUUCACCUACCACUACAUCCACUCAUUUCACCCAACACAUUCACCUACCACUACAUCCACUCAUUUCACCCAACACAUCCAUUCUCCAAACAUCCACCCACUACACCCAUUACAUCCACUUAUUACCAAACAUUACUCAUUACCAAACAUUCAUCCACUACACCCAUUACAUCCACUCAUUACCAAACAUCCACCCACUACACCCAUUACAUCCACUCAUUACCAAACACUCAUCCACUACACCCAUUACCACUACACCCAUUACAUCCACUCAUUACCAAACAUCUAUCCACUACACCCAUUACAUCCACUCAUUACCACAACCCACUACACCCAUUACAUCCACUCAUUGCCAAACAUUCAUCCACUACACCCAUUACAUCCACUCAUUACCAAACAUUCACCCACUACACCCAUUACAUUCACUCAUUACAACUCCAUACACUCCUCUCCUUAGCCUAUAAAUACAUCCACCCUUCACCAUAAUUUGGAUUCCAUCUCCAUCCAAAGACACUACAUUUUCACAUCUCACCAAUCCAUACACUUUCAUCUCUUAGCCGUGCAAAUCCAUUCCAUCCAUAUAUCCAUACACAUCCUAGACACUUGUGCUACAACAAGGUGGUGAAAACAAAGUCCUUGGCGUUUCAAGCUUGGAACUUUGGAGCAUUUUAGGUGUACUUCGUUCUUGCUUUCAAUGUCUACUUUGUUAUUUUCUAAUUUUGUUGCAAUUAUGAGUGGCUAAACCCCUAUUUAGUUAGGGGGAAGUUUGAAGCCAUGAACAUGCUUGAGAUUUGAAUUGAUUUCUUCCAAUUGUGAUUUGAUAAGUUGUGAUUGCAAUUCAAUUAUCUAUUUUAUUCAUAAGUGAUUCUUGUAUGUUUAUUAAGGAUGCAUACUUAGUUUUCAUGCAUGAAUUAGAUGCUAUAAUAUAAAUGAGUUUCACCUAAUCGUUACAAGUUUAUAGUCAUGAGUAGUGAAGGUUGUUUAUCACAAUCGCGUUAAUUGAAUUCUUGGCAAUUGUAUCAUGCAUUCAUAGUUAUAAUUGCCUCGUCAACACUUAUGAUUUUCAUUUAACGUAAUGAUCUCUGAUUGUAUCUCUAUUAUGCAUUCAUAUAGGGGACUUUUAGAGAAUAACUUGGGUUGUCGUAUGCAUUCAUCCAAUUCAAUGAGUAAAGGAAAAUCUGAAGAUUAAUUUGUGCAUCACGGUUAAUCUGGGAUGUUGAGCAUCAUAGUUUAUUGAAAAGCAAUUGGAAAUCGAUUCAUGUACAAGUGUGUCAUGUGUGAAGAACGGACCUCUAACUAAUCCAUCCAUCAUCGUAUUCCUCAAAUUUGUCUUACAAUCUGCCUAGUUUUAUAACUUGUUUGUUUGUUUCAAAUUCAUCAAAACCAAAAUCCCCAUUUUACUUUCUUGUUUCAAAGUGUUAAAUUUCGGUUUUGUUUGUGUAAUUUGAGUGUUUUGAUUCAAACCAAAACACUAAAUUCAUUGAAAAUUGUGUUAAAGUCAAAUCUGCCCAAUUUGUGUUUUUAGGCAGUUUCGAGUUGAUAGAAUCUGUUUUGAGUCCCUUGAGUCUAUUCAAACGUUUUUAACUUUGUUUUUAUGUUUUUGAGUAAGUUUAGAGGUUUUAGCAAGCCCUCCUAAUCCCCGGUUUAGAAUGAUCCCUACUUGCAUUUAUACUACAAUUUGACAACAAGAGGGUUUAAUUUGUGUGUUAAGUUAAUUUUCGCAUCAAUAGAAUAUGACGUAUUUAUAGGGAUAGGGUUGACCAUAGUGUUAGGGUUUUACCCUACACGUGGCAGCAUCCUAUUGACCAAGCGUUUUGUGAAGAAAUAGUCUCUAAAUAUUCUCAAGAUAUUAAAUAGGAAAUAAUAUCUUGAGAUAAUGGAGUAAAUAUCCCUAAUUGAUUUAAAUUGGGAUUACUUACUUGAUUAGAGUCAAUCUUCAAUUGAGAAUGUAUUAAAGAUAGGAUUUGGGUAAUUAAUCCUUAUCUUUAAUUCCUUGCCAAUGGUAGGUGAGCUGUGGACAGUCGCAUUUAGCUGUUGAGACCUUCAGGGGUGCGAGCUACGUGUGGGAGCACCUAAGAAGUCUGCCCAUUUAUUGAGGGCAAUCUUGUCUUUCUUGAGAAAAAGUCUACGUGUCGCCUCUAGAAUUUUUGGAAUUAUUUUAGACUCCACAACUGGAGUAUUGUACUCAAUUGGCAUCUAUGUAUUGUUUGAGAUAAUUAAUGAAAUACCAAUAUAUUGUUGCUUGUCAAACAAAAAUUCCCCUCAAAAUAGUUAAUUAAAAUGGAUAAGUUUCAUUAAUAUUUGAUUAACUUAAUUCCCAAUCCCCUCCAAAUAAAAAAAAUCUAAUAUAACAAGUUGUUUAUUUUAAUUCAAUCCUAGACAUAUAACGAAGCCUAAAUAACAUUACUUGAAAAAGAAACUUCUAUUUUAUCUAUGAGAUAGGAUCAGGGGUUAAUACUUUGACAUUUCUUUAUGAGAUAGGAUCAGGGUGUUAAUACUUUGACAAUUCUUUUGCAUUUUUGAAAUUACAAUCCACAUCAUUAUUCAUUAAAUGACAUGAGCGAUGACAUGAAUUAUAACCAAUAUAAUACAUAAACAAAUAAAGAUUAAAAUUUAAAAUGAAUAAAAUUGGGAAUUUCCUCAAACAGCAGACACUCUAGAAGCCUGUUUGUCUCUUGGGAUUGGCAGCCAAAGUCAAAGUACAUCUAUGGAGACUCCCUUGAAUUCCAACGACGUAAUUAAUUGUACAAUGUUGAACUAUCUGCAAACGUGAACAAGGAGGGAGGAAGCCCUCCAUUGCUUUGGUGAACUAAGUCAUCAUAAUAUGCAUGUAACAUGUUUAUACAUGGAUUUUUGUGACAACAAAACUAACCAUAUAUGCAUGCAUGCAUGCAUGUAAAUGUUUAUCACUUGGAUUUUUUACAACAAACCUACGUAAAAAAUAACCAUGUCAUGGUUGAAUAUUAAUAUUUCACGAGGAAAAGCUAUACUAUUAUAUCUAUAUAUAAAGAGAACACAAAAUAUGACCAGUGAUUUUGGUGUCACCAAGCUUCAACAAAAAAAUUUAGACAAAAAUGCUCCCAAGACAAAAAAACUUCAAAGGCAUCCCAAAAUAAUACAUCAAAUAAGGCAAGGGUAUUUUCGUCAUUUUAACAGUGUUUUGUUAAUGAUUUUUUUUGGUACUGUUUUUUUUUCUUUUUUUUUUAAUAAUAAGUGCCUCACGAUAGGCUAACAAUAAUGUAAUUCAAUUUCUCUAUUUUUAAACACAUUCAAAACAUCUUAAGAGGCAGUGGCGGAGCCAGAAUUCUGAAUGAGGAUGGGCCUUUCACAAAUAUGUAUAUAUAUGAGUGUGUGUAAAAAGUUGAAUUCAUAACAUGUUGACAUAUGCAAUUUGUAUAAUCCUCACAAAACUGAAAAAAAUUCUCUUAAAUUCAAUACUAAGAAGAAAAAAAUGUAAAUACCCAGACAACCAAGUAAGAGGUAGGUUGUGGAAGGCUAAAGAAAAUACAAAGAAGUAGAAAAGAAGGAAAAGGGGGAGAGGUCUGCAAAUAAAGAAGGUGGGUUGCUUUAGAAAAUUAUAGGGUAUAUAUUACUGUUAGGUGAGAGAAUUGAACCAGAAGUGGAGUUGCUUUUUCCAUUUAAAAUUGCGCAUCACUUUUAAAAUUCAUCUGCCAAACUUAUCGUUUCAUUAGACAGCCGAAAAGAUUUAAAAUCAAAACGGUUUAACGACGUCAUUUGCUUCAUCUUCUUCCAUGAGGUUCACACCUCAGAUGAAGUCAGGAUGGGACGGGGACUACCCUAGUCCCUUGGUGGCUCCGCCCCUGUUAAGAGGUGUGCAAUGCUGGUUAUAAAAAAGGUCUUUUGCACGCAAAUAAUAAUGUGAUUAAAUAAGUUGUCAAAUGAUUUUUUUUUAACAAACGAUAUUAUCUACACUAAGGGAGAGGAGGGUGGGCAGCCUCACAAUGGACUAGCAAUAAUGUGAUUCAAUCAAUUGUUUAUUAAAUAUUAUUUUCUUUAUUUUUAAACACAUUCAAAACAUCUUAAGAGGCGUGAAAUGGUGGUUAUAAAAAAGGUCUUUCGCAUGCAGAUAAUAAUGUGAUUAAAUUAAUUGUCAAAUGAAUACUUUUUUUAACAAAUUAUAUUAUCUACACUAAGGGGGAUGGGGUGUGUUUAGCCUCACAAUGGGCUAACAAUAAUGUGAUUCAAUCAAUUGUUUAUUAAAUAUUAUUUUCUCUAUUCUUAAUGUAAAUUCUAUAGAGACCGAUUUUUUUGUGAAUUCAGUUGCUUUAAUUUGUUUAUGAGGGGUUUCUUCUAGCAUGAUCUAUAAUUAUUCAUUUACUUCAAAUAUUUGACUUUCCUUUUGUCAAUUCACGCAUUUAAAUACAUUUAAAACGUGUAAGUUGCACGUAACAUUUCAUGAUUCAAAAAAUGUAUUGCACACGCACGAGCGCGUGCAUGAAGGCUAGUUAUAUAUAAAGCGCGCAGCCCCCAUUUAGGGUCACGGGCUUCACUAAAAAUAUUUGGACAUAAAUGCCCCCUUAAACAAAAAAAAAGUUCAAAAGUAGCUCAAAAUAAUGCAAGGGUAUUUACGUCAUAUAAACGGUGUUUUUUAUAAUUAAUUAUUUUUUUGUACAUUUUUUUAAUUAGGAUAUACUAGGGCUGGAAAUUUUUCUUGAAAAUACCAAACCAAACAAAAAAAAUUCCCAAACCGAUAAUACCGAAAUUUUUGGGAUCCAUACUAAACCACUCCUUAACUUUUCGGUACGGAAUCAGGAUUACAUAAUCAAUGAUUUGGGAAUCUCAAACUGAACCGAAUAUAUAUAUAUAAAUAUAUAUAUAUUUAUUUGGGUGCAUGCAUGUUAAAUAUUGAAUUUAAGUUGUUUGAUAGUAGACUAUAUUAGAAAUAGAAGCAUGAAAGUAAGUAGUUUGAAACUUUGGAACAUCAAUUUGACUUGGUAAGAAUAAAUUGGUUAUUUCAAUUGGUAUGAUGUAAAAAGCCUAAAUUUUAAUUGAUAUGACAUUGGAAAACAAAAUUUUAGGCGAAAAGCCCAAAUUUUAGUCCAUAGCCCAAAAAUUUCAAAUUUCAACCCAAAACCCCGAAGGCCCAAAACCGAAAAUCCAAUUUUGAAAUACCGAAAACAUUUCGAAAAUCUCGAAAAUUGGGAAUACUGGAAUUUCGGUUCGGGAUUGGUCUUCAAAUUCUUGUCCCGAAAAUUUUUGGUUUGGGAUCCCAUACCGAACCACCCCUAAAGGAUAUACUUCUAUACCUAUAUAAAGCGCAUAGCCCCCAUUUGGGGUCACGGGUUUCACCAAAAAGUUUUGGAUAGAAAUACCCCCAAACAAAAAAGUUCAAAAGCAGCCCAAAAUAAUAAUGCAAGGGUAUUUACGUCAUAUAAAUAGUGUUUUUUAUGAUUACUUUUUUUUAUGCAACUUUUUUUUAGUACCCCACAAUAGGCUAGCAAUAAUUGGAUUCAAUCAGUUGUUUAUUAAAUAUUAUUUUCUCUAUUUUUAAACACAUUCAAAACAUCUUAAGAGACGCGUAGUGCCGGUUAUAAAAAAUGUUUUUCGCACGCGCAUAAUAAUGUGAUUCAAUUAGUUGUCAAAUGAUUUUUUUUUUUAACAAACGAUAUUACCUACACUAAAGAGGAGAUGAGUGAGUUUAGUCUCAUAAUGGGUUAGCAAUAAUGUGAUUCAAAAAAUAUGUAGUCAUGCGUAGCACGUCGUGAUUAAAAAAAUGCAUUUUUUUCACGCUCGUAAGCGCGUGUAUGAAGGUUAGUUGUAAUUAAAAGAGGAAGGAAACUCAUAUUUUCAUGGCAGAUAAAAUAAGUUUUUGGAAUAUUGGGAUAUAUUUUUGUUUGGAUUUCCUAUUAGCUCUGGUCAUUCUUUUUCACGCCAGUUCUUUCACGCGCCACCACAACCUAAAUCAAUUCUCAUACGGCACGAUCCCCUACUUGGAAUGUUGUUAAGCAUCUGUCUUUAUUCUUCAUUGAAUUCAUCGGGCCCCUACCUAAAACUUCAACGUGCAAACGUGUGGUUUUUGACACCUAUAAAUCAUGAAUCAUCCCCCGAUCAUCGGCUACCUACCCGAACCAUGCAUCAAAGACAAACGUUAUUCAGGAUCCUAAGUAACUGCCUCAAUAAUCCAAAUUAAAAUCCUAAAAAAAUAAUAAAUAAUUGUAAGGGAUUGAGAUCAAAAGACUCAGCUGGCUAUUCAAACUUUGACCGAGUAUGCUUCUGCCACGUGUCACUAAACCCAUGAGGGAUUUUUUUUCUUUUGAUUUUUUUUUCAAAUUUUUAUAUUUAAUGUGCAUUAAACUCGGGAGCUCAUCAGCCAUACUACAUAUAUGAACAAGUCCACCACUACUCAGACAUACUCUCAAAACUGCAAGUCUGUAACCAUGGCCACAUUUGCUUAUGCCACCACCACCGCCAUUGUCUUCCUCAUCCUCCUCCCGCUGUCUUGCUCUUCCGAAUCAUUUUUGCACCAACAUCACCACGGCGGCUCCUUCUCCGUCCAGAAAUCGGACGUCGAUCUUUUGGAGUUUCCUUUGAAUUUAGAGUAUUUGGAAGCUGAGUUCUUUUUGUAUGGCUCUUUGGGGUAUGGUUUGGAUAAAGUUUAUCCAAGCUUAGCCCAAGGAGGUCCCUCUCCCAUUGGUGCCAAAAAGGCACAUUUGGACGACUUCACUAGGGAUGUCAUCGAGCAAUUUGGAUGGCAAGAAGUUGGACACUUGAGGUUUAAUCUUUUUUUCCUUUCUAAUUUAUGAUUUUCGUCUAACUUUUUCAUUUCUGUACAGACUGUUUCUAGUAUUUAGAUUGAAUGAAUUCGAUCAGCAAAUAGAUUUGCGGAAUUCAUGUCUGAUUUACAAAUGGUACAUAGCUAGAAAGCUUACAAAAUUAUUUAUUUUUUCUUCUAAUUUUUGUGCAGAGCUAUUAAGAAAACUGUGAAGGGUUUCCCAAGGCCAUUGUUGAAUAUAAGUGCAGCAUCAUUUGCUCAUGUGUUUGAUUCUGCAUUUGGGAGUCCCUUAAAUCCACCAUUUGACCCUUAUGCCAAUUCAAUCAACUAUCUCCUUGCAUCCUAUAUCAUUCCUUAUGUUGGUCUCACUGGCUAUGUUGGUGCAAGCCCUAAGCUCCAAGGUGCUACUUCCAAAAGGGUAAGUAUUUUAAAGUAUUCUAUUAGAUUCUUUUUAUGUUUUGCAAAACAGUGAAUCUUGAUCGCAUUUUAUGAUAAGAAUAAACAUGGCUCUAUUGUAUUUGUUUGGUAAACUAGUCUGACAAGAAAAACAUUAACCUGUAACUAAAAUCAAAGUUGUUUAUGUUUAUAUUGGUCUAUGCUUCAAACACAAUUAUUUUGAAGAGUAAAAUUUGGAAAUCAUCCAUGAACUUUCACCAUAAUUUCAACUAAACUAAAAAUCCGUCAAUUAGUGUCUGUGAAUUUAACAGCUCUAACAUCAUUGAUUAUGUGGAUCAUGUUCAGUUAGUUGCAGGUCUUUUGGGUGUGGAAUCAGGCCAAGAUGCAGUGAUUCGAGCAUUGCUAUACCAGCGCGCAGAGUUGAAAGUGGAACCAUAUGGCAUUACAGUGGCUGAGUUCACAAAUCGCAUUUCGGAACUAAGGAAUAAACUAGGACACGAAGGUUUGAAAGAUGAAGGCCUUGUGGUUCCCAAACACUUGGGUGCUGAGGGAAAAGUCAGCGGCAACAUUCUCGCUGGAGACGAGUACUCACUUGCAUAUGGCAGGACUCCAGAGGAGAUACUAAGGAUCGUAUAUGGUAGCGGUAAUGAACGUGUACCUGGCGGUAUCUACCCCAAAGGAGCUGACGGCCGGAUUGCUAAAUCUUAUUUGAAAAAGGAAUAGGAGAGAUUUUUAGUGUGACCGGCACACCACAUGUUAUUAUAUAAAUGGUAGGAUAUGUGUGUUAAAAAAUUAAUAACUUUAAAAAUAAAAUUUCCCACCACUUACAUAAAAACACGUGAUGUACCACCCGUGAUCCCGUCGCAAUUAAAAAUUUCUCAAGGAAUAGGACAUGAACAAAAAUAGGACUAGUUUGGUUGCCAUCUAGUUUACCUUCUUCAUAAUGUUUUUUUUUUCUUUUUUCUUUUUCCUUUUCUAGACAGAAUAAAGCAUGUUCUUAAUUAAUUUGAUGUAAGGAAUCGUUUCACGCUUCAUUUUGUUCGCAUAGAUCCUUCGAGUUUGUUCACAUAAUAUUAUAUUAACAGAGCAGGGAAAAUGCAGUAAGAAAACUCUUAUAAUACGUUGCAAUUUGCAUAUGUUGACAAAAAUUUCUAUUCAGAAUUCAUGAACAUGACACAUAAGUGAGCAAAUCACAUGGAUUACAUUUUUGACCCAAAAAAAAAAAACUAGUGAAAAAAACUUGAAAACUUGGAGUUUUAACGAUAAAGACAAAAUAAAAUGUAAAGUAAAUAGUAUCCGAAUUGACUUUUUAGUGUAAAAAUGUGGUUUUUCGUUAAAAUAAACAAUACCGAAAGCUUUUCGUUAAAGUUCUCAAAAAAAAAAAAACGAACGAAACUAUGUGGGUUACAUACAUAAAAAUUCUUGCACAUUACUACAACAAGAGUGCAAAGCCAGUAUGGCAUAAGAAAAAGAGUUAAAGAUGAGUGUCCUGUUGCAAAUUUCUGGACAACAUGUUGCAUUGGAUUCUAGGCUUCCUCCAGACCGCUACCUCUCCCACCCUUCCUCGGAUGCCGGCUAUCGAUCUGGAGAAAAAGAAGCUGCAGGAAAUAACAAUUUUGAGUGCUGUCAGCUCAUAUAGAUUUUCAUCUGUACCUAGAUUCGCCACUGGCUUCUCACUCGUGGCAAGGCUUUUGAUCGUAAGUAGAAGCAGGGCCGGACGAGGCUAAGGCUAACUUCCCUCCCCCGACCAAUCGGGCAUCUGAGAGAGCGAAGCGUCGUGUAUAUUCAUCCAGAGCCACUAAUCUCCCAGGGCCUCCAAGGGGGUACAAGUGCAUUAACAGCGUGUUUGACUUCUGAAAGCAAGGAAUGAGCGUAAGAGCUUCUCUAGAUAUUCACAGGUAAGAGAGCUUUAUUUUGUAAGCAUCUCUGUAAGCUAGCCCGGUGCAUUUGUCACAUUUUAACAAUAGUUGGGCUAAUCAUAUCAUAAAAUUAGAUGAUUUCUAUAAGAGCAUCGAAUUCACAUUUCCUAGGCUUUGCGAACAAUAUAUCGUCCAAUAUGCAGAUUGGCCCCAACUGAUCUAAACUGCUAAAGAAACACCGCACUAGCGCAUUCCAUGUUCUGAUGUUGGGGCAGAUCCCUUCACUUUUCAUCUUAUGUGGAUAAACCAUGGCCUCAUUUAAACCUACCCUAUUACAAAUCUCCCACACAAUACUGGUAUAAUCUACUACAUCUGAUUACCACUCCUCUUCUGCGCCAACAAUGUCGAAACUCUAGCAGUGCUAAUUGAACCUUGCUUGCAAUUGGCAUAUAUAAUCGUAUUAUAUGUGAUGGUAUCAGGCUUCCUUCUCCUUACCAGCAUCUUUCCAAGAAGCUGCAUAGCCUAAUUGGCAUUCCAGCCUGAAGAAAAACCAUUCAAAGUGGUAUUGUAAGUUUCCAAAUUCAGUCCCAUCCUUAUUUCCUCGAUCUCCCUAACAAUUCCAUAAGCUUCUUCAAAUCUGUUCGCCUUGAAUAGACCGUCCAAAAACUCAUUAAGGCGGCAACCAUGGUUCAUCAUGUUGUACAGAUGGAGGGCAGCCAACAAGGGUACCUGCUUUUGCAAAGCCAUCAAUAAGAGAGCUAUAUGUGGUCUAGGGGAGCCAUUCCUCUCCAUCUCAUAGCAAACAGAUACAGCAUCCCCCAUUUUUCCGUUAGUGCAGAGAUCAUGUAUCCGAGUAGUAUAUGCAACAAUAUUCGGCCUAAAUCCCUCGCAAAUCAUCCGCUUCCUCAAGUCAAGAGAUUCGUGCACUCUCCCUUCCACAAAAGCAACCCUUUAUCAAGAAAGCAUAGGUGUGAACAUUAGGGCUGCAUCCUCUCACGAACAUUUGAGCCAAAACUGCAAGAGCAGACUCAACGUUCCUCGUAUCAUUGAUCGUAUUAUUAAUUUUCGAGUAUGUGAUAACGUUACCGCUUAUUCCCUUAUCCACACCAUUUCAACCAACAACUCCGAAGCCUCCUUAUAAUCUUACACUCUUUGCACACCCCAUUCACCAAUUCAUUAUAAACAAGGACAAUGGGAUCAAUCCUCCAGCAAGCUCCCUAGCUUCCUCCACCUUCCCCCGUCUACACAAUACCAGACACUACAGUCGUAUAGCUCACAGCAUCCGACAAACAGCCCUUCUUCGACAUUUCAACAAGACAGUUGCGAGCACCAUCCACCCCAUCGUUCUUACACAUUGCCUUCAACAGAAUGUUAUAAGCAUACACAUUUGGCUCCAUCCCUAUCCUUCUACAUAUUCCUAUAUAUCGGAUUAAUCAGCUUAUGACAAUGACGAUAUAGAAGACAGGAAACAAGGUAGGGUAGAACAACUAGUGUAGGAAAAACAGGAAGAAUAAGAAAACUUAGGGCAAACAAUAAGUUAAAUUUAAGUAGAUGGUAGCAUAUAAAAGAUUUCGUAAUAGCUCUGCACAAAAACUUAGGGCUCUCAAUGAAAGCACAAACUUAGGGCUCUCAAUGAAAGCACAAAUUUGUCAAUGCAAAUUUCCACCAUGUUCAGUCUUGAAGAAAAUGUACCUGCAAAACAAUUAACAUCUUUAAUCAAUGAUAUAAGCCUCACGCGCCCACGAGGUGAUGGGGGUUAGGCUAAUGGAUCUCCGAUGCCUAAGUCAAUGUCUCUGAGGAGAAUAAAGUGUUUAGGGCUUUUUUAGGGUCGUAAAAGCUUCUGAAAUUUGGUAGAAUAUGAGAUAUUUAUAGGGAUAGGGUCGACCAUAGUGUUAGGGCUUUACCCUACAUGUGGCAGCAUCCUGUUGGUCAUGUUUUGUGAAGAAAUAUUCUCUAAAUAUUUUCAAGAUAUUAAAUAGGAAAUAAGGUCAUCUCCAACCGAAGGGUCCAGAGGGCCAGAGGGCCAAAAAUAGCCCUAAAACCGUCUCCAACCGAGGGCUAGGUCAGAGGGCUUGGGAAUCUGGGAGGGCCCCACGGAAUUUCAAAGGGCCAAAGGGCUGGCUGCUUUCGGCCAGCCAGCCAGCCCCGGGCUGGUUAUUUUUUUUUUUUUAUAGUUUUCCUAUUGCUGUCUGUUAUAAUCGACAGCAUUAAAGAGAAAUUCUUUUUUUAUAUAGUUUUACUAUUAGUGUCGGUUAUAACCGACACUAAUAGUUUGAAUUUUUUUUUAAUAUAACGGCUAGCUGAGUCAGCUAGCCGUUGCAUCUAGCCGUUGGGUUUUUUUUUUAUUUUUUAAUUUUAAACAUUUCUUUUCUUCUAUAAAUAUGGUGAAGUUCUCUCAAUUCUUCACUUCAUUUGCAAUAUUUCCUUCUUCAAUAUUUUUCAAUAUUUCCUUCAAUAUAUUUCUCAAUAUUUCCUUCAAUAUUUCCUUCAAUAUAUUUUCCAAUAUUUCCUUCAUCUAUAAUAUUUGUUUCAAUUUUUCAAUAAUUUCCUUCAAUAUUUCCUUCAUUUUUUUCAAAAAAAAAUGGCCUCAUCUGCAAUGAAAGGUAGGGCUUGGACCCGAAAAGAAGAUGAAGCUCUUUGCAAGGCUUAUAGAUGGGUCUCAGAAGAUAGUAUGAGGGGGAUUUCUCAAACAAGUGAAGGUGUUUGGACUCGUGUGUCCAAAACAUACUUAGAGUUCUACGAAUGCACCAUUCCACCGAAUACCCGAAACCACGAAAGUUGUUCUUCAAGAUGGAAGAAACAUCUUCAUCCAAGUUUGAAUAAAUGGCAUCAAGCACUAUUAGCAGCAGCAAGUAGACAUGAAAGCGGCGCCAAUUACUAUGACGAAGUUAGUGUUUUCACAGUUUAUUUUAAAUGUUUAAUUAUAUUACAUUUAAUUUUUGUAAUUAUAUGUCAUUAUAUUACAUUUAAUUUCAUGAAUUAAUUUCCUAAAUUUUUUGUAAUUAUAUUUUCUAGGUAUGCCAAACGGAGGAAUUGUAUAUGGAGGGCAGCUCAAAACCCUUUCAGUUUCACGGUUGUUGGGAAAUUUGUAAAGGGUGGGUGUUAUUUGAAGAUCCACCUCAACAUAGAGUGGAUCCUUUGGGAGCUGCAUCCCCAUCUGUAGAUAUGAAUGAAGAUGGAUCUCCUACCAUUCAACAAACAAGGGUAGAAAAUCCGACUCCGUCCGAAAGUUCUUUACCUAGGGCUAUGGGACGAAACAAGGCCCGAAGGUUGAGGGAAAAGGGCAAGGCAAAUGCUGAUUACGCCGCUCAACAUGAAGUGGCGGCCUCAUUGCGAUUACUGGCAGAGCAAAAUGCCCUUAAGGCGGAAGAAAGGAAGUGCAGACAUGAAGAACGGGCCAAACAAAUACAAGAAGAGAUGGAUGAUAAGAAUAUGGAAAGGAACACUUUGAAUUACACUCCAAUGAGUAAGGCCUAUUUUGAUAGGAAAAAAAAAGGAAAUUAUGUCUCGGCGGCAAUUGUUUACCUCUGACUAUACUCCUACAAUGGCGGAUGAUGAAGAUGAUGUUGAUUAUGGAUAUUAAAUUUAAGUCGUUGUAAUUUUUAAAUUUAAGUUAAUGUUGUUUUUAAAUUUAAUUUGUAGUUUUUAAAUAUAAGUUGUUGUUUUUAAAUUUAAGUUGUUGUAGUUUUUAAAUUUAAAUAAUAAAUUAUGUUUGGCCCUCGGUUGGAGACGGUUUUUUGUGACAGGGCUAAAACGAGCCAUCUGGCCCUCUGGCCCUCGGUUGGAGACGAAGGCAAAUAUGACCCUGUACUGUUCAUUAAAAUAUUAAUAUCUUGGGGAAUCUUGGAGGGCCAGAGGGCUAAAACGAGCCCUCUGGCCAGCCCUCGGUUAGAGAUGGCCUAAUAUCUUGAGAUAAUGGAGUAAAUAUCCCUAAUUAAUUUAAAUUGGGAUUACUUACUUGAUUGGAGUCAAUCUUCAAUUGGGAAUGUAUUAAAGAUAGGAUUUGGAUAAUUAAUCUUUAUCUUUAAUUCCUUGUCAAGGGCAAGUGAGCUGUGGGCAGUAGCAUUUAGCUGCUGAGACCUUCAGGGGUGCGAGCUGCGCAUGGGAGCACCUGAGAAGCCUGCCCAUUUAGUGAGGGCAAUCUUGUCUUUCUUGAGAAAAAAUCCACAUGUCUCCUCUAGAAUUUUUGAGAUUAUUUUAGCCUCCACAACUGGAGUAUUGUACCCAAUUGGCACCUAUAUAUUGUUUGAGAUAAUUAAUGAAAUACCAAUAUAUCGUUGCUUGUCAAACAAAAAUUCCCCUCAAAAUAGUUAAUUAAAUGGAUAAGUUUCAUUAAUGUCUGAUUAACUUAAUUCCCAAUCCCCUCCAAAUAAAAAAUCUAAUAUAACAAGUUGUUUAUUUUAAUUCAAUCCUAGACACAUAACGAAGCCUAAAUAACAUUACUUGAAAAAGAAACUUCUAUUUUAUCUAUAGGAUCAGGGGGUUAAUACUUUGACAUUUCUUUAUGUGCUAGGAUCAGGGUGUUAAUACUUUGACAUUUCUUUUGCACUUUUGAAAUUACAAUCCACAUCAUCAUUCAUUAAAUGACAUGAGCGAUGACAUGAAUUACAACUAAUAUAAUACAUAAACAAAUAAAGAUUAAAACUUAAAAUGAAUAAAACUGGGAAUUUCCUCAAACAGCAAAAACUCUAGAAGCCUAUUUGUCUCCUGGGAUUGGCAGCCAAAGUCAAAGUACAUCUAUGGAGAUUGGGGGAUGGAGAUUCCCUUGAAUGCCAACGACAUGAUUAAUUGUACAAUGUUGAACCAUCUGCAAACGUGAACAAGGAGGGAGGAAGCCCUCCAUUGCUUUGGUGAACUAAGUCAUCACAAUAUGCAUGUAACAUGUUUAUACAUGGAUUUUUGUGACAACAAAACUAACCAUAUAUUCAUGCAUGCAUGUAAAUGUUUAUCACAUGGAUUUUUACAACAAACCUACAUAAAAAAUAACCAUGUGAUGGUUGAAUAUUAAUAUUUCAUGACGAAAAUCUAUACUAUUAUAUUAUAUUAUAUUACAUUAUAUAUAUAUAACUGGGUUUGCUUUGGAUUUUUUUUUUCUUCUCCUUCUUCUUUCUGGGUUCCCGCCCACGAACCAGGGGGUGGACGAAUUGGGUUGGGGUUUUUUUUCUUCUUCUUCUUCUUCUUCCUCCUUCUUCUUCUUUCUAGGCUGCAGGGGGUUGGGGGGUGAACUGGGUUGGGUUGGAAUUUUUUUUUUCCUCUUCUUCUUCCUGCUUCUCCUUCUUCUUCUUUUUCUUCCCGGGGGAAGGGGGGUUGAUGGGUUUUCAAAUUUUUUUUUUUGGUUGAAGAUUAAGCAGGGAAGAAGAUGAAGAUGGGGAGAGAGCAGGGGGAAGGGACGAACAGAGGGAUUUAUUUAUUUAUUUUACUUUUCUUUAUUAUUUUAAAAAAUAUUAAAUAAUUUUUUUUUUUAGUUUUAAUACUUUUUUAUUAAUUUUUUUUAAUAGAAAGUAGGCCCUGAAUCAAGUCACAUCAGCAUUUAACUGAAAAGUAAACGGCCAAGUAACGGAAUGUAUAACAUUGGACCAAAUUCUAAAGAUGAGGUAUGACAUUGUCAAUUUUAAAAGAUGAGGUAUGAAAGUGUCAUGACACCAAUAGUUGAGGUAGUUUUUUGUACUUUACCAAAAAAAAAAGUUCAAAAGCAACUCAAAAUAAUGCAAGAGUAUUUACAUCAUAUAAAUGGUGUUUUUUUUUAUAAUUAAUUUUUUUGUACAUUUUUUUUAAUUAGGAUAUACUAGGGCUGGAAAUUUUUCUUGAAAAUACCAAACCAAACAAAAAAAUUCUCAAACCAAUAAUACCGAAAUUUUUGGGAUCCAUACCAAACUGAUCCCAAACUUUUCGGUACAAAAUCGAGAUUACAUAUUCAAUGAUUUGGGAAUCUCAAACCGAACCAAAUAUAUAUUUAUUUAUUUUGGUUGCAUGCAUGUUAAAUAUUGAGUUUAAGUAGUUUGAUAAUACACUAUAUUAGAACUAGCAGCAUGAAAGUAAAGUAGUUUGAAACUUUGGAACAUCAAUUUGACUUGGUAAGAAUAAAUUGGUAUGACUUAACAAGCCUAAAUUUUAAUUGAUAUGAAAUUGGAAAACAAACUUUUAGGCGAAAAGCCCAAAUUUUAGUCCAUAGCCCAAAAAUUUCAAAUUUCAACCCAAAAGCCCAAAACCAAAAAUCCAAUUCCAAAAACAUUUCGAGAAUCUCAAAAAUUGGGAAUACCGAAAUUUCGGUUUGGGAUUGGUCUUCAAAUUCCUCUCCUGAAAAUUUUUGGUUUGGGAUUCGAAUCCCAUUUUUAGUUUUGGAUCCCAUACCGAACCACCCAUAUAGGAUAUACUUCUAUACUACUAUAUGGGGUCACGGGUUCACCAAAAAGUUUUGGAUAGAAAUACCCCCCAAACAAAAAAGUUCAAAAGCAGCCCAAAAUAAUGUAAGGGUAUUUACAUCAUAUAAACAGUGUUUUUUAUAAUUACAUUUUUUUUGUGCAGUAGUACCCCACAAUGGGCUAGUAAUAAUUGGAUUUAAUAAGUUAUUUAUUAAAUAUUAUUUUCUCUAUUUUUAUACACGUUCAAAACAUCUUAAGAGGCGCGUAGUGUCGGUUAUAAAAAAUGUUUUUCGCACACACAUAAUAAUGUGAUUCAAUUAGUUGUCAAAUGAUUGUUUUUUUUUAACAAACAAUAUUAUCUACACUAAAAAGGAGAUGAGUGAGUUUAGCCUCAUAAUGGGCUAGUAAUAAUGUGAUUCAAAAAAUGUGUAGUCAUGCAUAGCACAUCGUGAUUAAAAAAAUGCAUUUUUUACACACUAGUAAGUGCGUGUAUAAAGGCUAAUUGUAAUUAAAUGAGGAAGGAAACUCAUAUUUUCAUGGCAGAUAAAAUAAGUUUUUGGAAUAUUGAGAUAUAUUUUUGUUUGGAUUUCCUUUUAGCUCUGGUCUUUCUUUUUCACGCCAGUUCUUUCACGCGCCACCACAAUCUAAAUCAAUUCUCAUACGGCAUGAUUCAUCGGCAAUCCCCUACUUGGAUUGUUGUUAAGCAUCUGUCUUUAUCUUUCAUUGAAUUCAUCGGGCCCCUACCUAAAACUUUCAACGUGCAAACGUGUGGUUGUUGACACUUAAAGAUCAUGAAUCAUCCCCCGUCAUCGGCUACCUACACGAACCAUGCAUCAAAGACAAACGUUAUUCAGGAUCCUAAGUAACUGCCUCGGUAAUCCAAAUUAAAAUCCUGAAAAAAAUAAUAAAUAAUUGUAAGGGAUUGAGAUCAAAAGACUCAGCUGGCUAUUCAAACUUUGACCGACUAUCCUUCUGCCACGUGUCACUAAACCCAUGAGGGAUAUUUGUGAGCUCAUCAGCCAUGCUAUAUAUAUGAACGAGUCCACCACGACUCAGACAUUACUCUCAAAACUGGAAGUCUGUAACCAUGGCCACAUUUGCUUAUGCCACCAUCACCGCCAUUGUCUUCCUCAUCCUCCUCCCGCUAUCUUGCUCUUCCGAAUCAAUUUUGCACCACCAUCACCAUGGCGGAAACUCCUCCGUCCAGAAAUCGGACGUCGAUCUUUUGGAGUUUCCUUUGAAUUUAGAGUAUUUGGAAGCUGAGUUCUUUUUGUAUGGCUCUUUGGGGUAUGGCUUGGAUAAAGUUUAUCCGAGCUUAGCCCAAGGAGGUCCCUCUCCCAUUGGUGCUAAAAAGGCACAUUUGGACCACUUUACUAGGGAUGUCAUCGAGCAAUUUGGAUGGCAAGAAGUUGGACACUUUUGUUAGAGUUUUGAGACUCUUGUCCCACCACAUUGAAGAAAACAAGAUUCUCAAUGACCUUUAUAUAUGUUUUGUCCUCUACAAUAUUAGUUAUGUAUUGGACCACUUGGAAUGGGAAUUGAGGCUUGGGCCACCAUUUUUUGUGUGGAUUGGGCUUGAUGAUUAUACCAUAAUAUAAUAAUAUUAAUAAUAUUAAUAUUAAUUAAUCAAGAAGAUAUUAAAUUGGAAUUUCGAUAUGUAGAUGAUAUGCUUAUAAUGGGAACUAACAAAGAGAAAAUAAAUUGGACCAAGAAGAUAUUGAAAUCAAAUUUCGAUAUGAAAGAUCUUGGACUAGCUGAUGUGAUUCUUGGUGUAAAAAUAAAAAGAAACCAAGAAGGUUAUAUUCUUACUCAGUCCCAUUAUAUAGAAGCUACACUUAGGAAAUAUGGUCAUUUGGAAAGUAAAGAUGCAAUUACUCCUUUUGAUGCCAAUAGCAAACUUAAGAAAAAUAAAGGUGAUGCUAUAUCUCAACGUGAAUACUCAUAAGUUAUUGGAAGCCUUAUGUACAUUAUAAACUGUACAAGGUAGCAUACUCCGUGAGUAGACUGAGUAGAUAUACAUGCAAUCCUGGGCAUGAUCAUUGGGAAGCUUUAAUUUGAGUUUUGAGAUACUUAAAGCAUACAAUGAAUUAUGGAUUGCAUUAUACGAGGUAUCCUCCCGUGCUCGAAGGAUUUAUAGAUGCGAAUUGGAUAUCAGAUAGUACUGAUACGAAAUCCACAAGUGGAUAUGUAUUUACUUUGGGAGGAGCAGCAAUAUCUUGGAAAUCUUCCAAACAAACAUGCAUAGCCCGAUCAACUAUGGAAUCAGAAUUUAUAGCUCUCGAUAUGGCUAGAGGAGAAGCUGAGUGGCUAAGAGAUUUUUUGGAAGAUGUUCCCAUAUGGCCUAAACCUGCAACAGCAAUAUGUAUACACUGUGAUAGUUUAGCUGCACAAUAUCGAGCUAAAAAUAGUGUAUACAAUGGGAAGUCUAGACAAAUUAGACGAAGGCAUAAUACAAUAAAGCAAUGGCUCUCUAGUGGGGUAAUUUCUAUUGACUAUGUCAAGUCAAAAGAUAAUAUUGCAGAUCCGCUUACUAAAGUCUUGUCUAGAGAGCAAGUUAAGCAUACAUCGAGGGGAAUGGGUUUAAAGCCAAUAGAGUAAAAUGAAACUGCUAAACAGAAACUUAACCUUGUUGAUUGGAGAUCUCAUGGUCUAGGUUCAAUAGGCAAACUGGUUUGGCUAGAUUCAAGAAGAAACACACUUACAUACCCAUUCCUAUGAUGGAAGAAGUGUGGUGACUGCUGAUGGUGUAGGAUACAUUAGUUUAAUGAUAUUGGUACUUGUAAAUCAAGUGGAAUAGUAGCAGCCUAUUCAUAAUCAAUAUGACCUAUAUGAGAAUAAAUGUGGGGUCGCAUUUAUGAGAAUUACAUGGCUAUAUUCUCUAAAACUCUCAUGAAUCCAGGAUUUGUUCAGGACCAAAAUGAACACAAACGUAUGAAUUUGAGAUGUGUUGGUGUGGCAUAUGUUUUGCUUAUUGUCAUGGUUACUGCGAAGAUGAACAGUUCAAGAUUUUAUAUUCACUGCGUCAUCUAGUAAAUCCGAUAAGUAUACACCAAGGUAGAUUCAAGUCCAAAAGACACCUCUCCUGAUGUAUGUCACAUCUAUUGUUUACACUCGUGUCUCCAUUUCUCUAGGACCAAAUACUCGUCUCAAAAUGUGGGGUAUUGUUAGAGUUUUGAGACUCUUGUCCCAUAUUGGAGAAAACAAGAUUCCCAAUGACCUUUAUAUAUGUUUUGUCCUCUACAAUAUUAGUUAUGUGUUGGACCACUUGGAAUGGGAAUUGAAGCUUGGGCCACCAUUUUGUGUGGAUUGGGCUUAAGGAUUAUACCAUAAUAUUAAUAUUAAUUAAUCAAGACAAUGGUUUUAAUUUUCGAAUUAAGUUUUAAUUAAAAAUGUUUUGAUUAAUAAACACAACUCUUUGGAAAGAGUUGUAUAGCUUCAGAUACAUCCAAAAGAUAUUUGAAGAGGUAUGAAAGAGCCUAUAUAAUUGGAGUCCUCAGUUCCAUUCCAGAUAUCUUUUCUUCCUCCUUGCUUCUAUACGAAAUUUCCAGAGAGUAAACACACAAAGCAAAUUCGUUAGAAUUCUAUAAUCCAGUGCGGGUUGUAGAAUUAGGUAGUUGAAUCUUGGUCGAGCAGACGUUGUCAAACCACAAGCACAGGAGUGGGACGAAAAUACUGUUCGAAGGACAUAGGUUUUACGUUAGCCUCUACCUUCUAUAAUCAAGUUAGUUGCAUUAAUAUUCUUAUAUUAAUUUUUGUAUUAUUGUGUAAUUUUCGUUUUGCAUAGCAAGUAUAUUUUGGUUAAUAAAAUAUUAAAAUUUCUAUUAUUUUUGUUUAUUUCUUAAUUGUUCUCCAACAAAGGUUUAAUCUUUUUUUUUUCCUUUCUAAUUUAUGAUUUUCGUCUAACUUUUUUAUUUAUGCACGGACUGUUUCUGGUAUUUAGAUUGAAUAAAUUCAAUCAUAAAAUAUAUGUGCGGAAUUCAUGUCUGAUUUACAAAUGGUACAUCGUUAGAAAGCUUACAAAAUUAUAUUUUUUCUUCUACUUUUUGUGUAGAGCUAUUAAGAAAACAGUGAAGGGUUUCCCAAGGCCAUUGUUGAAUAUAAGUGCAGCAUCAUUUGCUCAUGUGUUUGAUUCUGCAUUUGGGAGUCCCUUAAAUCCACCAUUUGACCCUUAUGCCAAUUCAAUCAACUAUCUCCUUGCAUCCUAUAUCAUUCCUUCGUUAACUUAUCUUAUACUUCACAGCCAAGACAUAAUCAGUUAAGCCAUUGAACUACAACCAACAUAAAGUAAUAUAUAACCCCAGUAAACCUUAAAUCGAAUAAAGAAAACAUACUUGCUGUCGAAGACAUCAUGCAUGGAUAUUAGGUUUAGCCUUCUCUUCUCUGGUGUUUGAUACAAUACAACCUUCAAUGGGACUGGUUUUCUUUUUGGAAUCACACUGAGAAAAGAGACCAAGAACCUCUCUUUUAUUUACAUGAAAAAACAAUAACUGCUACCCCCCAUUAGGGUUUCGGUUAUUGCCAGUUACUUAGAGUUGUUAACCAACUCUAAUUCAAACAUUAUAACUUAAUGGUUUUCCCUCCAUUUACCUAUAUGGCCAUAUAAUCUCUUAUCUUGAUGUCGGCAUAUAUAUAAAUACACUAAGGUUUGAUUACACUCACCCUAUAAAAUCUUACAUCCUUAUGUUGGUCUCACUGGCUAUGUUGGUGCAAGCCCUAAGCUCCAAGGUGCUACUUCCAAAAGGGUAAGUAUUUUAAAGUAUUCUAUUAGAUUUUUUUUAUGUUUUGCAGACAGUGAAUCUUGAUCGCAUUUUAUGACAAGAAUAAACAAGGUUCUACUGUAUUUGUUUGGUAUACUAGACUGACAAGAAAACAUUAACCUGUAACUAAAAUCAAACCGUUUAUGUUUAUAUUGGUCUAUGCUUCAAACACAAUUAUUUUGAAGAGUAAAAUUUGGAAAUGAUCCAUGAACUUUCACCAUAAUUUCAACUAAACUAAAAAUCCGUCAAUUAGGGUCUGUGAGUUUAACAGCUCUAACAUCAUUGAUUAUGUGGAUCAUGUUCAGCUAGUUGCAGGUCUUUUGGGUGUGGAAUCAGGCCAAGAUGCAGUGAUUCGAGCAUUGCUAUACCAGCGCGCAGAGUUGAAAGUGGAACCAUAUGGCAUUACAGUGGCUGAGUUCACAAAUCGCAUUUCGGAACUAAGGAAUAAGCUAGGACACAAAGGUUUGAAAGAUGAAGGCCUUGUGGUUCCCAAACACUUGGGUGCUGAGGGAAAAGUUAGCGGCAACAUUCUCGUUGGAGACGAGUACUCACUUGCAUAUGGCAGGACUCCAGAGGAGAUACUAAGGAUCGUAUAUGGUAGCGGUAAUGAACAUGUACCGGGCGGUUUCUACCCUAAAGGAGCUGACGGCCGGAUUGCUAAAUCUUAUUUGAAAAAUGAAUAGGAGAGAUUUUUUAAUGCAACCGGCACACCACGUGUUAUUAUAUAAAUUGUGCGAUAUGUGUGUUAAAAAAUUAAUAACUUAAAAAAUAAAAUUUCCCACUACUUACAUAAAAACACGUGAUGUACACCCGUGUUCCCAUCACAAUUAAAAAU